UACGAAGGGGGCUAGCGUUGCUCGGAAUCACUGGGCGUAAAGGGCGCGUAGGCGGUUCUGUAAGUCCCGCGUGAAAUCCCCCGGCUCAACUGGGGAACUGCGCGGGAAACUGUGGGGCUAGAGUUCAGGAGAGGGAAGCGGAAUUCCGGGUGUAGCGGUGAAAUGCGUAGAUAUCCGGAGGAACACCGGUGGCGAAGGCGGCUUCCUGGACUGACACUGACGCUGAGGCGCGAAAGCUAGGGGAGCAAACGGG
rnacentral:rRNA from 1 species